GACCUGGUGGUGAAUGGUUCACACCCACCCUCCUUGACCAGCCGUUUCUGAACCCAUGUGAGGUGGGAGGCCCCGGUUCGAUUCCGGGUCAGGUCA